rnacentral:lncRNA from 1 species
UUUUGCACGUUAAUUUUUAUAUCCUGAAACUUUACUAACGUCAUUUAUCAGGUCUUUUGGAGGGAUUGUUAGGGUUUUUUUAGGUUUAGAAUCAUAUCGUGAGUGAACAGAGAUAAUUUGAGUGGUUUUAUCCUUCAUAUUGAUUUGAAGUAUGUUUAUUGGUUGAGACUAAUAGCCCUAGGCCAGUUUGAAGCAAUAAGCUCUGCAAUCACAGAAAAUGAUAUCUAAGUUUAGAAAGCAGUGUUUUGAAUGUUACAUUGAUAGAUCUUGGCCUCCCAAAUUGCUGGGAUUACAGGCAUAAGCCAGUGUGUCCAGCUAGCUGCCUUCUUUUAGAAAGUAAAAUUGUUCGUGAGAUCAUUAGUAAGGUAGAAUACGUUUGCUGUUUGUGAUUUGUGUGUACAUUAUAUGAAUUGCUUAUUCAUAUCCUUUUUCUACUUUUUAAUUAGGUUUAUAUUUUUCUUACUGUUUUUAAAGAAAUACUUAUGUAGCAAUGAUAAUUCAUUGUCAAUCAUAAAAGUUGUAUUUUUUCCAAGUUCUGCAUUUUUCUUUUAAUUUUUAAAAUGUCUACGUAUUUUGUUUAUAUAGCCAAGUCUGUUUGUCUAUAUCGUAUCUUCCCCACAUAGAGGUUGCAUAAAUUCUCUCAUAUUUCU